UGCAGGUUCUCAUGGGAACAUCUUAGCCCCAGGCACCUCUGACCUCAUAGGGAGUGGCCUUCUCACUUUUUAGGGCCAAGAAGGAGUUGGUCAGGAAGAACUCAGCUGGAGGUAUUGAGGGUGGUGAGAUAGAGCGGAAAUAGUGGGGUCACCAGCAGCUCUAGGUGGGGUGGGGACAAAAUGACAAUUCUUUUUUUUUUUUGAGACAGAGUCCUCCUCUGUUUGCCCAGGCUGGAGUGCAAUGGUGAGAUCUUGGUUCACUGCAACCUCCAUCUCCCAGGUUCAAGCAAUUCUGCUGUCUCAGCCUCCUGAGUAGCUGGGACUACAAGCAUGCACCACCACAGGCUAAUUUUUUUUUUUUUUUGUAUUUUUAUUACAGAUGGGGUUUUACCAUGUUGGCCAGGCUGGUCUUGAACUCCUGACCUCAAGCAUUCUGCCCACCUCAGCCUCCGAAAGUGCUGGGAUUACAGGUGUGAGCCACCGCGCCCGGACAACAACUUGUUUUUAAAAAAAUUACAAUCAAUAACCAACCCUUUAAUGUACUGGGCAUUUGGAUGAUGAGAAAGUUGAGACAAACAGAGGACAAACCACUGGCCAGGAUGCUUUAAUAGAGUGGAAAGCCACUGUUUUUCAGGACGCCAGCCCCCGUCCCCACCUUGUGCGGACACUGACUUUGGCUUGAAGGGAACGGCUCUGACAGCACAGUUUAAAAAGCAUCCUGUGAUUCACUACUGGAUCAGGUGACAAAAACUCAAAAUGGCCUAGAGAGGAUGAAUCCAUCCCAGCACCAGGGUUGGCUUGUGACCUAAACCCACCAAACACUCGCAGGACCUCUGUCAGCUGGUCAGAGACAGUGAGUCAGCUCCAGAUCUUCUGACUGAGGCCAGUUUGAGUUGGAUUGUCUGCCAUAUGAGCAAGAGAAAUCUCACCUGCGAGGCCUGCCAGCAAACGGUGGUACAGCCUCCACAGCCCGCUCUUCAGAUUGCAAUUCAGGCCCCCGCUCUGAGCUGGAACCUCUAGACCAAGUUUGCAACUCCUGCAAGAGCCCAGGUGGAGCUCCUGACACGGUGCAUAGAAGCGGGCUGGCACAGUGCGUGAGGAGUCCCCUUCCCAGCCUCCCAAAGACACCGUCUGCUGUCACUGAGGCCAGGGCUGCAGCACCUGCAUCUCCUGAGCUCCAAAAGACCCUGUGGUUCAACGUUCGUUAUGCUCAAGUGACAAUCUGCUGCUAAGUGCAGCACUGAGGCUGCAUAGCCAGAGACGGUUCCAGAAGGAUUUCCAGGGACCCCAGGAGUCUGGCAUGGACAAGUGUGGGCCAACACCCGCCUCAGCCCUCAACUGGCUUCAGCGAUGGCCUUGGCGCCUCAUUGAGAAGACCCUGACUGUCCAUCUCCUGAAGGGAGUGCUCCUUCUGCUGCAGUCAGCCCCUAUCUGAAACACCAGCCAACCCAAGGUGCAGCAGCUCAUUUCCGGUUCUGAGCUGUGCUUGGCGGACCACUUUGUUGACUCCAAAGUAUAUUCUGUGGUCUAAAGAAGACUAAUAGAAUCAAUUGCUCUUGUCCUUCUGAUGGAAGCAUUUAAACGUGAGGUGUGAGUGUUUGGCCAGACUUCCUGAUGAACAGCUGCAAACGUCUGGAGCUGUGGGUUGAGAGGAAGAUGGACGCCCUGGGCCGCUAAUGGUGGCAUCUGACAAUUCUACACCCUGCUCUGUCUCCUCCUGACAACCACAGCCAUCUGAGCACCCGGGUUCAUGUAAGAACAGGAGAAGUGCAAGGCUUGUUCAUUUAAAUGCUCUUCGAGGAGAUGCCUUAUGUAAAUAAGAAAUGAGUGUGCAAUGAAUUAAGAUGGU
rnacentral:lncRNA from 13 species